UUGAACGCUGGCGGCAGGCCUAACACAUGCAAGUCGAGCGGUAGCACAGGGAGCUUGCUCCUGGGUGACGAGCGGCGGACGGGUGAGUAAUGUCUGGGAAACUGCCUGAUGGAGGGGGAUAACUACUGGAAACGGUAGCUAAUACCGCAUAAUGUCUACGGACCAAAGUGGGGGACCUUCGGGCCUCAUGCCAUCAGAUGUGCCCAGAUGGGAUUAGCUAGUAGGUGGGGUAAUGCCUCACCUAGGCGACGAUCCCUAGCUGGUCUGAGAGGAUGACCAGCCACACUGGAACUGAGACACGGUCCAGACUCCUACGGGAGGCAGCAGUGGGGAAUAUUGCACAAUGGGCGCAAGCCUGAUGCAGCCAUGCCGCGUGUGUGAAGAAGGCCUUCGGGUUGUAAAGCACUUUCAGCGAGGAGGAAGGGUUCAGUGUUAAUAGCACUGUGCAUUGACGUUACUCGCAGAAGAAGCACCGGCUAUCCAC
rnacentral:rRNA from 1 species